rnacentral:rRNA from 1 species
UUAAGUUAUUAAGGGCGCACGGUGGAUGCCUUGGCACUAGAAGCCAAUGAAGGACGUUACUAACGACGAUAUGCUUUGGGGAGCUGUAAGUAAGCUUUGAUCCAGAGAUUUCCGAAUGGGGAAACCCAGCAUGAGUUAUGUCAUGUUAUCGAUAUGUGAAUACAUAGCAUAUCAGAAGGCACACCCGGAGAACUGAAACAUCUUAGUACCCGGAGGAAGAGAAAGAAAAUUCGAUUCCCUUAGUAGCGGCGAGCGAAACGGGAAGAGCCCAAACCAACAAGCUUGCUUGUUGGGGUUGUAGGACACUCUAUACGGAGUUACAAAGGACGACAUUAGACGAAUCAUCUGGAAAGAUGAAUCAAAGAAGGUAAUAAUCCUGUAGUCGAAAAUGUUGUCUCUCUUGAGUGGAUCCUGAGUACGACGGAGCACGUGAAAUUCCGUCGGAAUCUGGGAGGACCAUCUCCUAAGGCUAAAUACUCUCUAGUGACCGAUAGUGAACCAGUACCGUGAGGGAAAGGUGAAAAGCACCCCGGAAGGGGAGUGAAAUAGAACCUGAAACCGUGUGCUUACAAGUAGUCAGAGCCCGUUAAUGGGUGAUGGCGUGCCUUUUGUAGAAUGAACCGGCGAGUUACGAUUUGAUGCAAGGUUAAGCAGUAAAUGUGGAGCCGUAGCGAAAGCGAGUCUGAAUAGGGCGUUUAGUAUUUGGUCGUAGACCCGAAACCAGGUGAUCUACCCUUGGUCAGGUUGAAGUUCAGGUAACACUGAAUGGAGGACCGAACCGACUUACGUUGAAAAGUGAGCGGAUGAACUGAGGGUAGCGGAGAAAUUCCAAUCGAACCUGGAGAUAGCUGGUUCUCUCCGAAAUAGCUUUAGGGCUAGCCUCAAGUGAUGAUUAUUGGAGGUAGAGCACUGUUUGGACGAGGGGCCCCUCUCGGGUUACCGAAUUCAGACAAACUCCGAAUGCCAAUUAAUUUAACUUGGGAGUCAGAACAUGGGUGAUAAGGUCCGUGUUCGAAAGGGAAACAGCCCAGACCACCAGCUAAGGUCCCAAAAUAUAUGUUAAGUGGAAAAGGAUGUGGCGUUGCCCAGACAACUAGGAUGUUGGCUUAGAAGCAGCCAUCAUUUAAAGAGUGCGUAAUAGCUCACUAGUCGAGUGACACUGCGCCGAAAAUGUACCGGGGCUAAACAUAUUACCGAAGCUGUGGAUUGUCCUUUGGACAAUGGUAGGAGAGCGUUCUAAGGGCGUUGAAGCAUGAUCGUAAGGACAUGUGGAGCGCUUAGAAGUGAGAAUGCCGGUGUGAGUAGCGAAAGACGGGUGAGAAUCCCGUCCACCGAUUGACUAAGGUUUUCAGAGGAAGGCUCGUCCGCUCUGGGUUAGUCGGGUCCUAAGCUGAGGCCGACAGGCGUAGGCGAUGGAUAACAGGUUGAUAUUCCUGUACCACCUAUAAUCGUUUUAAUCGAUGGGGGGACGCAGUAGGAUAGGCGAAGCGUGCGAUUGGAUUGCACGUCUAAGCAGUAAGGCUGAGUAUUAGGCAAAUCCGGUACUCGUUAAGGCUGAGCUGUGAUGGGGAGAAGACAUUGUGUCUUCGAGUCGUUGAUUUCACACUGCCGAGAAAAGCCUCUAGAUAGAAAAUAGGUGCCCGUACCGCAAACCGACACAGGUAGUCAAGAUGAGAAUUCUAAGGUGAGCGAGCGAACUCUCGUUAAGGAACUCGGCAAAAUGACCCCGUAACUUCGGGAGAAGGGGUGCUCUUUAGGGUUAACGCCCAGAAGAGCCGCAGUGAAUAGGCCCAAGCGACUGUUUAUCAAAAACACAGGUCUCUGCUAAACCGUAAGGUGAUGUAUAGGGGCUGACGCCUGCCCGGUGCUGGAAGGUUAAGAGGAGUGGUUAGCUUCUGCGAAGCUACGAAUCGAAGCCCCAGUAAACGGCGGCCGUAACUAUAACGGUCCUAAGGUAGCGAAAUUCCUUGUCGGGUAAGUUCCGACCCGCACGAAAGGCGUAACGAUUUGGGCACUGUCUCAACGAGAGACUCGGUGAAAUCAUAGUACCUGUGAAGAUGCAGGUUACCCGCGACAGGACGGAAAGACCCCGUGGAGCUUUACUGUAGCCUGAUAUUGAAAUUCGGCACAGCUUGUACAGGAUAGGUAGGAGCCUUUGAAACGUGAGCGCUAGCUUACGUGGAGGCGCUGGUGGGAUACUACCCUAGCUGUGUUGGCUUUCUAACCCGCACCACUUAUCGUGGUGGGAGACAGUGUCAGGCGGGCAGUUUGACUGGGGCGGUCGCCUCCUAAAAGGUAACGGAGGCGCUCAAAGGUUCCCUCAGAAUGGUUGGAAAUCAUUCAUAGAGUGUAAAGGCAUAAGGGAGCUUGACUGCGAGACCUACAAGUCGAGCAGGGUCGAAAGACGGACUUAGUGAUCCGGUGGUUCCGCAUGGAAGGGCCAUCGCUCAACGGAUAAAAGCUACCCCGGGGAUAACAGGCUUAUCUCCCCCAAGAGUUCACAUCGACGGGGAGGUUUGGCACCUCGAUGUCGGCUCAUCGCAUCCUGGGGCUGUAGUCGGUCCCAAGGGUUGGGCUGUUCGCCCAUUAAAGCGGUACGCGAGCUGGGUUCAGAACGUCGUGAGACAGUUCGGUCCCUAUCCGUCGUGGGCGUAGGAAAUUUGAGAGGAGCUGUCCUUAGUACGAGAGGACCGGGAUGGACAUACCUCUGGUGUACCAGUUGUCGUGCCAACGGCAUAGCUGGGUAGCUAUGUGUGGACGGGAUAAGUGCUGAAAGCAUCUAAGCAUGAAGCCCCCCUCAAGAUGAGAUUUCCCAACUUCGGUUAUAAGAUCCCUCAAAGAUGAUGAGGUUAAUAGGUUCGAGGUGGAAGCAUGGUGACAUGUGGAGCUGACGAAUACUAAUCGAUCGAAGACUUAAUCAA